AGAGCUCAAAUUUAAAAUCUGGCAGUUCCUUGAGCUGUCCGAGUUGUAAUCUAGAGAAGUGUUUUCCGUGCUGGACCGUGUACAAGUCUCUUGGAAUGGAGCGUCAUAGAGGGUGAGAAUCCCGUCUUUGACACGGACUACCAGUGCUUUUGUGAUGCACUCUCAAAGAGUCGAGUUGUUUGGGAAUGCAGCUCAAAAUGGGUGGUAAAUUCCAUCUAAAGCUAAAUAUAGGCGAGAGACCGAUAGCGAA
rnacentral:rRNA from 1 species